AGGGUUGUGGCUCAGUGAUAGAGCACUUGCCUGGCAUGUGUGAGGCACUGGGUUCGAUUCUCAGCACCACAU
rnacentral:tRNA from 1 species